UACAGAGGGGGCAAGCGUUAUUCGGAAUUAUUGGGCGUAAAGCGCGCGUAGGCGGCCACUUAAGUCGGAUGUGAAAGCCCCUGGCUCAACUGGGGAAGUGCACCCGAAACUGAAUGGCUUGAGUGCGAAAGAGGGUCGCGGAAUUCCCGGUGUAGAGGUGAAAUUCGUAGAUAUCGGGAGGAACACCGGGGGCGAAGGCGGCGACCUGGGUCGACACCGACGCUGAGGCCCGAAAGCGUGGGGAGCAAACAGG
rnacentral:rRNA from 1 species